rnacentral:rRNA from 1 species
UCCAUGCAAGUCGAGGGGCAUCGGGGAGUUAGCUUGCUAACUUUGCCGGCGACCGGCGCACGGGUGAGUAACGCGUAUCCAACCUUCCCCUUAGUAGGGCAUAGCCCGGCGAAAGUCGGAUUAAUACCCUAUGUUCUUCGUCGAGGACAUCUGAAGUGAAGCAAAGACUUGUCGCUAAGGGAUGGGGAUGCGUCUGAUUAGGUAGUAGGCGGGGUAACGGCCCACCUAGCCGACGAUCAGUAGGGGUUCUGAGAGGAAGGUCCCCCACAUUGGAACUGAGACACGGUCCAAACUCCUACGGGAGGCAGCAGUGAGGAAUAUUGGUCAAUGGACGUAAGUCUGAACCAGCCAAGUAGCGUGCAGGAUGACGGCCCUAUGGGUUGUAAACUGCUUUUAUGCGGGGAUAAAGUGAGGGACGUGUCCCUUUUUGUAGGUACCGCAUGAAUAAGGACCGGCUAAUUCCGUGCCAGCAGCCGCGGUAAUACGGAAGGUCCGGGCGUUAUCCGGAUUUAUUGGGUUUAAAGGGAGCGCAGGCUGAUUGCUAAGCGUGACGUGAAAUGUAGCCGCUCAACGGCUGAACUGCGUCGCGAACUGGUGGUCUUGAGUGAGUACGACGUCAGCGGAAUUCGUGGUGUAGCGGUGAAAUGCUUAGAUAUCACGAAGAACCCCGAUUGCGAAGGCAGCUGACGAGUCCUUUACUGACGCUAAAGCUCGAAGGUGCGGGUAUCGAACAGGAUUAGAUACCCUGGUAGUCCGCACGGUAAACGAUGGAUGCCCGCUGUUGGCGAUACAAUGUCAGCGGCCAAGCGAAAGCGUUAAGCAUCCCACCUGGGGAGUACGCCGGCAACGGUGAAACUCAAAGGAAUUGACGGGGGCCCGCACAAGCGGAGGAACAUGUGGUUUAAUUCGAUGAUACGCGAGGAACCUUACCCGGGCUUGAACUGCAGCAGACGAUUCAGAGAUGAUGAGGUCCUUCGGGACUGCUGUGAGGUGCUGCAUGAUGUCGUCAGCUCGUGCGUGAGUGUCGGCUAGUGCAUACGAGCGCAACCCUUUUCUCAGUGCAUCAGGCGAUGCUGGCACUCUGAGAACCUGCACGUAGGUUGAGAGGUGGGAUGACGUCAAUCAGACGUCUACGUCGGGCUACAACGGUUACAAUGGGAUUCAGAGAGGUCGAGGGCCGCACGCACUCUCAUCUGAAGCUCUCAGUCGAAUGGUAUCGACGACUGAACGUAUCUGUAUCGCAUCACCAUGCGUGGAUAGUAUAUUUCGCU